rnacentral:rRNA from 1 species
UACGUAGGUGGCAAGCGUUGUCCGGAUUUAUUGGGUUUAAAGGGUGCGUAGGCGGUCUAUUAAGUCCGUUGUGAAAUACGGCAGCUCAACUGUCGAGGUGCAAUUGAUACUGAUGGACUUGAGUACUGAUGAGGUAAGCGGAAUGGACGGUGUAGCGGUGAAAUGCUUAGAUAUCGUCCAGAACACCGAUAGCGAAGGCAGCUUACUAAGGAGUAACUGACGCUGAGGCACGAAAGUGUGGGGAGCAAACAGG